UGAGGUAAAUGGUUAUUUCUGUA
rnacentral:siRNA from 1 species